rnacentral:tRNA from 1 species
GCCUGGGUAGCUCAGUCGGUUGAGCAUCCGACUUCGGCUCAGGUCAUGAUCUCGCGGUUCAUGAGUUCGAGCCUCGCCUCGGGCU